CUUAGAUGUGCAGUUCACGUGAGGGGCUGGCAGUCUUGAAGAACACGCGAUAAUAUUUGCUCUCUAAACUGCUGAAGAGUAGCGCUAGCUCAGGGGUAGAGAUCGGACUCCCGAGUCUCCACAGGAAUAAAGUCCCGGCGUCUCAGACCAACUCGAGCUGUCUCAUAGACGGGAUGGGACAUCAGCUGCCCUUUCUCGUCGUUAUCGGUUUCGUUAUGCUGGGUGUUCGGCGUGCAGAAGGGUCUGAAACUAAACAAUGUCCCAAUGACAGCUACAAAACUAAAGACGACGUGUGCUGCGGUCUCUGCCCUGCAGGAACAUUCAAGGCAGCAGACUGUUUGACUGAUGGAGGAAUCCGUAAAUGUAUUCCUUGUAUUAAAGGGAAAUUUUACACUGACAAGCCAAAUAAUGAAUCUGCCUGCUUCGACUGCACCCCCUGUCCAGAGAGAGAAGAGAUUGCACAAGAAUGUAUGAGAGAAUAUAACUCAGUUUGCCAAUGUAAAGAAGGAUACUACAGAUCGAAUGGACAGUGUGUACACAAUAAUGAAGUUGCAUUUCGUGGGGCAUUAAUUGGAAUGGCGAUAAUCGUCUGCAUCGUCAUCAUCAUCUUUCUCUGGAGGUGGAAAACAACAGCUCGAGCACUCAAAAAUCUUCAACGAGAAAAGAGGGAUAUUCGUAAAGCCAGAGGAGAGAACGGAUCCAAGAGGACGACCUUCAUUGGGAAGGAGUGGUAAAAUCAGCCUGUGUGCAGGACACGAGAGAGAUGACAGUGGCUGCAGGAGGACUUACCCGUAAACAGGAGUGCGUGUGUUCGAUCCCAACCCUGAUGCCUGUAUAUUGGCAGUUUACAUGUUCUACCCGUGGUCGCGUGUAUUUCCUCCGGGUCCUCCAAUUUCUCCCUUCACAUUUAGAAUCAACAUUCGUUUACAGUAUUUGGCUGCUAUAAACGUCUACAUGAUAAUAUACUUCGUUGAGCUAUCAUAUGGCCAGGUCACUUCUGAAAAAGAGCUUGAUAGCUCUGUAGACUUUACUGGGUAAAAUAAAAAGUAGUUUUUUUUUAUAGGAUUCAUCAUGGCUGGUGGUGAUUAAUAACCUCAGCUUCUAAAUUGCGCAACAAGAUAUGUAGAUGUAGGAUACUGAAAAGAAUAUCAUAAGAAGUGGUUCUAUCAGAGGUGGAAACAUGUUGCUUUAAUUUAUUUACCUUCAAAACAAUUAAAACAAUCAAAAACUUUUAUCUGAAAAAGACGAAUAUUGUUUACAAAUACUGUUCUGAUUACGAUGUACAUGAUCUGAGUGUAUCCGUUCAGACUGUGAAUCUUUGCUCAAAAAUCCAGUCGAAACCUAGGGCCAUCAUCUGAAAUUCUCCGCAUUUAUUGGACGCGAUCUUCACCACAGUGGAGUUGUGAAGGAUCCAUUACAGAGUAAAAUGUAUGAUACUAACACAAUACAACGGUCAUUAGCUGACUGGACAUGUAACAAUCAACUGCUAAACUAAGUGGUUACACUUAUCUUAAGCACGCACUAGCCAUACUUCACCACUGUAGCUAGUGUACAGUACAGACGAAGCUGAAACAUCACUGCCCAUGCGUUAUAACGAAGGGCUUAUGAGAGAGGCAGACAAAUCUGGGCCCAUCACUCUGCCUCGUUAUGUUACCAGGGACCCCUCAACCUGAAAGGAAAAUUCAAACCUGCUUGACUGCAAACUAUUGUUAAUGACCGUGUCUGUAAUACCUGUGAUUUGGAAUCAACAGAACUCUGACUUUCAUGUUCGUUAAUUUACAAAUAUUUAAUUGAUUUUGUUUUUCGAUCCAGAAAUGAGGGAUCUUCAUGAAGCAAACUUGGAUCUUUCGCAAGAAAUGAGGGAUCUUUCUCAAGAUAAAAAGAAGUGGGCUCUUUCACAAGAGCAAGAACGCGAGUUACUAUAUGCUGGUAAGUUUUCCAUGUACGAUGUGGCUGAGAAGUUAAUAACAGAGAAUCUUAUUUUUUCCACAGAGCAGGGUUACUGACAUAACGAGCUUCGCUAUGCUCUGGGCAGUAAAUUCAGAAUUUUCAUUCUUCGUAUUUAAAAUACAGAGUAACGUGAACGUAUAUAUAUUACAAAUUGUGUUAUCAUUUGCUACAACAUUCAUAAUUUCGCUAAUCUUUUGAUUUGAUGCAUUUUUCUUCGAAGUAAUCACUGUGAUGCUUUAUUUUAAGCCCACAGUGUUCACUAAAAGUUAAUGUUGUUAUUAGAACAAGAUCGCCUCAAGAAUUAUAAAGGUAAGUGAUCUCUGCGCAUGAUGCCACUGACCACAUUCCAAAUUGUGUCUGUCACACAUUGAGAUAGGUCACCUAGUGUGACAUCUCCACGGCUACGGCCUCUACUUGCUGAUAAACAUGCUGUAUUUGUCUCAACCUUCACGUUGGUGACAAAGGUGCAGUAUUUCCUACAUCCGCAUGGUGUCACAGCAGAUACAACCCACUGCUUCUUUAUUCUUCGUCUCUGGAGACAUUCGGGCGUCGCUUUGCAAGAUCAAAUGUCAUCAAUUCCCGCUGCUCUCGUCCACCACCUGUAUUUUGUCAAUGUGAUCCAGAUCCUCAAUCAAUAACUUUGCAAAGUGUUGUGUUGUAUUAUUUGCCUACACAUUGUUUAGCCCAUAUCAAGCGCAUGUUUAUUUAUAUUGGCCUUGAGCUCAACUUUGCAGCCGUCUUUAAUAUGUUCUUCAUACAUUCAUUGUGAUUGAUUUACCGUGUUGUAAUGACUGCGUAAUGAUAAAACCUUUAAAUGUUAAUGUUUUUAAUAUAUUUUUUCGAUUUUAUUUCUCGAAAAAACAGUUUGGAAAUCAUGUUCUAUUAUUGCAGGAAAUUUCUUUGGAGAGUGUGGAACUCACGUCUUUUCUGCUCUAAAUUUUGUUACUUCAUAAAAUCUCAUUGUAGCUGUAGCAUACAUCCAUACGACAUCGUAUUUUUUUUCCUGGAACCUUUCUUCGUGCAAACGUUAAAUACUGCACCAAUAUCCACCAACUCAAGUAAUUUUGAUAUUAUACAAAGGCUAGGCAUAAUGAUAAUAUAUAUACAUUUGUAUUUUACAUUAUCUGAUUGAAAUUACUAUGUUGCCAAUGGUAGAUAAACCUCUCCUAAUGCUGGCUUGCUACUUGCGUGCUUGCUUUGCCUAUAAAUUAUCCGUCAUUUUUGGUAUUUUCUCCAAACCACUUAACCACUUCGUCUAUGUCACUUUAAAUGUUGGGAUUGAUUUUGUUUAUACAUGUGUCGAUUAUUACCUAAUUUGUGUAUUUAUAAAAACGUUACCAAUUUAAUAAUGUGCAUUUCUAAGCUCUUGUUGUCAAGGUUUUAAUUUUGAAAAAGGUGUGUACUGUUGAAUAUGUAUUGCUUUUAUAUUUCCUUACACAAUAACCUCAUUGUUUUCUUUUUUUUUGUGUGAUCUUCUCUGAUUGAACAAUUAACUUAAUAUAUUUUUUUUACCAGAUGAAGAACGGUUAAGACUACUCAAAUGUAUGUAUUCUGCGUGUGCAAUGUCUUGAAGGGGUUCUAGCUAUAAUUUUCAUUAUGUUCCUCGAAAGAGUUGUCUUUGCUAAAUGAUUUAUUUUGCUUCACUAUUUACAGCUUGAAGUUAGAAUAUUUCUAAUGGAAUUCGAGUUAAUAUGAAGCGAAAUAUUUGAGCUGAAUACAGCCCCAUUUGCAAAUGUGAUUUGUAACUUUGAUUAUUACCCAUGGACUGAUAGUUCAAUUUCAAUGUAUUACCUUGGGAAUUGAUGUACUUAUGCAAUUUGAACAUAUAUACCUAAUUAAUGUUCUACUUAUUUAAGGGGCGCCAUGGUGGUGAGACGUUAUCUUACUCAAUUGGUAUGCAGGAGGUCGGGGGUUUGAUCCUAUCCCUGACACCCGUAUAUUUUAAGUUUGCAUGUUCUCCCUGUUAUAAUGUGGGUUUUUUUCUCCGGGUCCUCGGGUUUUAUUUUGUUGAGCUAUAAUUUGUCAUCAGGUCGCCUCUGAAAAAUAAUCUAAUAGCUCAGUGGGCUUUACCCAUUAAAAUACAAAAAUAGCUUACUUUUAUUUCUAUAUUUUGUGAUUUGGUUACCUUUCUUAUACUUUGCACUACCAUAAUGUGUUUGUAUUGCUUGUUGUUUUAACGUUCUGACCCGCCCUACUGGACAUCUGUAAAAAAUGCUUUAUAUCUCUUAGUAUUCCUCCAGUAUGAAUAAAUAUUAUGAUUCUGAUAAAUGUAAAGGGCCAAAUUCAUGCGGCUGUUUGAUACCUGUCAACCCGUUAUUAGUGCCGACCUUAUUACAGACCAAUUCAGACCUUAUUCGUCACCCCGUGCCCUUAUAAAUCUCAACAUUCAUCCUACAAAGUUCCAUCACAUGGGAGAAACACAAACAAAGACAAAACAUGUUUUUGCCCAUAUUGAAACGGCUGUACGCCGUAUGAACCCGAACACUUAAUUUUCCUUAACGAGAAAACAGGUAAACCGUAUGAGUUGACAGGUAUGCUAUUUUAGCUAUCAUUCCAUCACCUUAGGUCUAGCCAACAAGAGUGAAAGGUGUACACAAGUAGAUUGUAUGGGUAAAUACCCAGCCCCUUUCUGCCACAUGGAAUUGCUUAAACCUAUAAUAGGGUAACGUUUAGGGAAUUUACCUUCCUCAGAGUGAACAGAGAGCAGAGAGACACACUUACAUUACAUUAUUAUUUGACUUUUGUGAUUUGAGUUUCAGUUUUAUGUAUUUUACACUUAUAUUAUUACUUAUAUAUUUCUAUUAUGAGGCCUCAAUUAUGAACGUCUUGAUAUAUUUAUAAAAAUACGCUUCAUAUUUAUUUUACCGAACAAGUUUCAGCUGUGCUCACUUAAUUGUCAACAUUAUAAAACUAAAGUAUUAUGAUGGACGUAAUACGCCAACAGCAUCACGCGUGCGGUAAUAACCAUGAGUCUAAGAUAGCUUAGUGGUAAUCUCAUAUCAUUAAUUAGUUAUUCAUUUAGUGGGCGCCGUUCAUAUUUAUACCACAUUUUUGUAACAGAAAAACAUUUCAGGUGAAUUGUGCAUUUGUAGAAAAUUUCUUGCCUGAUCCAAAAUCACAUUGUCAGCAGAUAAGUAUUUUUCGACAAAGAUUGGCAGUUGUGAUAGCCCAGGCAAACAUGUCUAACAUGCACAUGCUAGAGGAAGGCCAGUGAUUGGCCUAUGAUGGAUUCCUAUGCAAACUGAAUUGGUUUGUGAAAACCAUGUCCUUAGAGGCUAAAUUUGAUUCAGAUACUUGUUCCUUAUUCGUAUGACGUGGCAAUGCUGUGAUUAUUAUCUGAUUAAUUAUUAUUUGACCAAUCACGUGGUAUUGUUGACAAACUCUGCUUAAGCGUCUCAUUAAAACUCACGAAGCAGGUUUUUAUUAUUAAUGGACAACGAAAGAACUACGUGCAACUCAUGCAACAUGCAUCUGUUAUUUUUACACUUAUUAUUGAGUCUUCGUCUUUUAUUCUUACUAUGCAUAUAGUACAUAAUUUCAGUAAUAAAUGGUGAAAAUGUGUAUAUUUAACGUGUUGAUUUAUAUGAUUCACGUAAUUAUUUGUGAUAUUGUACUUGUAUAAU